CUAUAUGCUUGUCUAAAAAUAAGUAUUUUUAGUAUUACCAGAGAGAAGAAGUUCGGUUAGUGAUGUUGGCUAAAUAUUUUUCUCUUUGACAUCACCUCCCUCCAACGCCCUGAAUUAGACGCUUAUCAAGCACGUGGCGUAUUCGAGUUCUUAAUACUUGGCUCAGAGCCCAAAGCCAUUUGACAAUGGACUCGGCGAACACUCGACAGGCGCAGCGCGUGCAGCCAGUUAACGACUUCAAGUUUCUUUAGCUGAACUUCAGGUGUACACGCCGGUUGUUACAAAGGACCCAAGAAAUAAUAUGCUGGAAGGAUACUGUAAGUAAUUCUUGUUAAAACGUGUUAGGUUUUCAUAUUUUUACUUCAAAUGGAAUGCUUUAAUGGAACGGAAUAAACUUUAAUGGAAUAAGGAACAAUAGAUUUUAAUUAAUAAAUGUUUUUUCAUUUGUUAAAAUAAAGUGUCUGUAUUAUAA